rnacentral:rRNA from 1 species
UACAGAGGUCUCAACCGUUGUUCGGAUUCAUUGGGCGUAAAGGGUGCGUAGGCGGCGGGGUAAGUCAGGUGUGAAAUCUCGGGGCUCAACCCCGAAACUGCACUUGAUACUGCCUCGCUUGAGUACUGGAGAGGAGACUGGAAUUUACGGUGUAGCAGUGAAAUGCGUAGAUAUCGUGAGGAAGACCAGUGGCGAAGGCGAACUCU